GAUGAACGCCGGCGGCGUGCCUAAUACAUGCAAGUCGAGCGAACAGACGAGGAGCUUGCUCCUUUGACGUUAGCGGCGGACGGGUGAGUAACACGUGGGUAACCUACCUAUAAGACUGGGAUAACUUCGGGAAACCGGAGCUAAUACCGGAUAAUAUUUCGAACCGCAUGGUUCGAUAGUGAAAGAUGGCUUUGCUAUCACUUAUAGAUGGACCUGCGCCGUAUUAGCUAGUUGGUAAGGUAACGGCUUACCAAGGCAACGAUACGUAGCCGACCUGAGAGGAUGACCGGCCACACUGGAACUGAGACACGGUCCAGACUCCUACGGGAGGCAGCAGUAGGGAAUCUUCCGCAAUGGGCGAAAGCCUGACGGAGCAACGCCGCGUGAAUGAUGAAGGUCUUCGGAUCGUAAAGCUCUGUUAUUAGGGAAGAACAAACGUGUGAGUAACUGUGCACGUAUUGACGGUACCUAAUCAGAAAGCCACGGCUAACUACGUG
rnacentral:rRNA from 1 species